CACCUUCAAUCAAUUGGAAAUCUUGGAAAUCUGGCAUGGAGCUGAGGUGCUUAUCUGCUAUUUCUACCCAAAAAAAGAGAUGAUCAUCAAGUGGACAAAUCAUGAAGUUUUUAAGCUCCAUCUUGGAACUAACAUUUGAAUAUCCCGCAACUCUAGGCUGAGCUCCUGUUGUUGCUCUUAGCUUGAUCUAAGCUU